AAUCCAUGAUGUGGGCAGUCUCUCUCUCAAUAUUCCUUUAAACCUAUCCCAACCUUCAUAAAGAGAUUCAGAGUUUAUUUGCCUGAAACUUGUAAUGAGAUU